rnacentral:tRNA from 1 species
GCCCGGGUGGCGGAAUUGGCAGACGCGCUAGCUUGAGGUGCUAGUGGGGCAUUAACUCCCCGUGCUGGUUCGAAUCCAGUUCCGGGCA